rnacentral:rRNA from 1 species
GACGAACGCUGGCGGCGUGCUUAACACAUGCAAGUCGAGCGGAAAGGCCCUUUCGGGGGUACUCGAGCGGCGAACGGGUGAGUAACACGUGAGUAAUCUGCCCCAGGCUCUAGGAUAGCCACCGGAAACGGUGAUUAAUACCGGAUAUGACACUCCUUCGCAUGGUGGGGUGUGGAAAGUUUUUUCGGCUUGGGAUGUGCUCGCGGCCUAUCAGCUUGAUGGUGAGGUAAUGGCUCACCAUGGCUUUGACGGGUAGCCGGCCUGAGAGGGUGACCGGCCACACUGGGACUGAGGCACGGCCCAGACUCCUACGGGAGGCAGCAGUGGGGAAUAUUGGACAAUGGGCGGAAGCCUGAUCCAGCAACGCCGCGUGAGGGAUGACGGCCUUCGGGUUGUAAACCUCUUUCAGCGAGGACGAAGCGAAAGUGACGGUACUCGCAGAAGAAGGACCGGCCAACUACGUGCCAGCAGCCGCCGUAAUAC